rnacentral:lncRNA from 1 species
UAGAGCAAUGGGAAGAGAGUUCCUUAUUCACACCUGGGGUUUAAGGACAGCGGAUGCAUGCAGCUCCUCUCAUCAUGGAUACUUCAGGAUGAAGGUCACAACACUCACUGCAUGGCUGGGCCAGUACAGACCUCAAUGAGUAAGAGACCAAGUUUCCUGCUUGCUCUUUCUGUUAAGCUGAUCACUGUCUACUUCAAAUUGGCAUUAUGUGUCAUAUAGUCAAAGAUAACUACACAUAUUCCAAUGCUUGGGGUGGGGGGUCCUGGAAAGCCACAGUCAGUCUGUGUGCAUAAAUGGGACCUAUACACUGUAGGUUUUGACUACAUUCUGGAAAUGAGAUUACAGACACUCUCUUAUGUGCAGGCAAAACCUUGUUCUUGUUAAGAAAAGGACAUAGAAUAAAGGGCUCACACAGCACCCAUCCUGGAAUUGUACCAUAAAAGAUUUAUUUUAACUAGGGUGAGGUAUUGUGCUCCACUAAUGGAGUCUACAGAAAAAAAUGUAGAAAACCAACUCCCCCUGUUGUGUUUGGCUGUAAAAUCUUUUCUGUUGAUUUAAUUUAAUUUUUGAAAAUGAGUGACUAAAUUAAUCAGGAAAAAUCUAUGCCCAGAAAUUGUAAAUGUUGGAGAUUAUCCCCAUGAGAUGAGAACGCUGGCCAUGAAAAUUAAGAUUUAUGGGCAACUCAAAUUUUUCCUCUUAAUCCCAUUUAACACAAAAAGAUUUAAUCUGUUGCCUUUGUAUGUAAGGAACCCUGCCCCAAACCACAUUAAAUACUCAUUCUUUUUCAUUUAUUUUGUACUUCGAUGAGUUUACAAAACUGUCCUUAUCAUUAUUUUUUAGUAAACCAAUCUUUUAAAAAGUAAGUUGGAAAUAGACCAGGUAAGGUCAAAAUUUAAAUAUUUUGCGAUAAGUAGUCCUUAGCCACUGAUGUCUACCGAAGGAACUUAGUCCCUCCUGCCUUUGUUUUACUAGAAUAAGGUGCACAUGGCCACUCUCUAAGGUGUAUUUAUAUUCUCCCAUGGCACUAAAUGAGUUAUUGUUGCCUAUCUAGGGCACAAAUUCCUACUUGUUAGCAUGUUGAUUAGUCAGCUCAAAUACUCCAUGAGUUUUAUUUUCUGGUACUCAGUAUCUGAGAAUGGUAAAAUAUUUGAUAUAAAAGUAUCCAUUUCUACUAAUAGCUAUUGCCUUUUAUCCUCGUCAGCCUUGUGUCAAAUAUGGAGUUCAUAGAGGAAGCUGACCCUGGAACUCUAUGGGAAUAGAUAAAACCAUUUAGCAGGACAAGUGCAUGUGUGGCCCAGAAAUAAGGAGUUGGUGCUCUCUGCUCAAUUUGAACUUUUGGAUGCUUUAUGAGAGGUUUUGCUACUAUGCUGUGAGGUCUUUCACAACUUCAGCUUACUGCCAGGAGCCCAUGACGUCAUGAAAACAUGGAGGUCACUGCCAGGCGCAGGCCAGUAAUGCACUAAUGACUAAGUUACACAGCGAAUCACUACAUGGGGAGUCUGUGAGUGGAUGCAUGAGAAAGCAGGCCAGCAUGGCAGAAGUGAGCGAUGAAAGACAAAGCUUUUGAGUGAAUGACAAACAUACCAGUGGGUCAGCCUUGAAGAAGUGAAUGUGUACUCUUGAGUGUAUCAGUCAUUCUGUGAAUUCCUGAAUGGUUUUAUGAAUGGAUGGAUAAGUAGAUCUUCAUUUCUAAUAAAGGAAUAAAGGAAGUAAUGAGUCAGCAUUUGGGUCCGUUCAUGAGAGGAGCCACUGUUGGCCCAGAUGAAUGGAUGAAUUAAUGAAUGGAUAAAUGACCUAUUGACGGAUGCUUGAUGGACUGAAAAAAAAAUGAAAGGAAGGAAAUCACUAUUACAACUGCAUGUGUAACUGAACGAAAUGAUAAGUGAAUAAGUGAAUGAAAGGCCAAUAGGCAGACGAAUGAGCAUCACAUAAUUAAGGAAUAAAAGAAUUGAUUAGGUAGCAAAUCUGUCAGCAAGUCUACAAUUAAAGAGUAAAUUGUAUUCUUGUGAAUGAGUGGCUGAACUAGUGAAUGAGUUGGUGUAUGAAUGAGUGAGUCAGCUGUCUGGGUGUGAGACAGUGAAUGAACUCACAGCUACUCCUCCUCUGUUCCAAGGAGAGUGGCCACACCCAGCUCCACACUAGUUGUAAAUACUUGAGCUCCCUACCCUCUCUAUCAUGGGGAUUUGUUUACAUGUCAGCACUAAACUGAAGAGUCUUGAGGGCCAGGAACUGGGUCAAAUUCUUCUCUCUGUCCUUAGCCCCUGCCCAGCCUCGAGCCUGGUAGGCGCCCAGUAAAUUAUUGCUGAAUGAAUGAGCAAAUGACUAAAAAUACAUGUGCUUUUGUGGAACCAGUAUGGCCUGGUAGCUGCUCUUUGGAGGAGUGUGCUGUAUGUCAGAUGGUCCGUGGCAUCCUCCCUGCAAGACCAGACUCUUGCCAGGGCCAGGCUUCCCAUGCCAGAUAAUGAGACAGGAUACUGGCAGUUCUUACUGCCCGGGACACUGGCCCAUCCUUGGGUAACUCUGGCUUGGCAUGGUGGAAUGGAAGCCCUGGGUCUUCCCGAAAGCUAUCCUAGCCUCUGCCAAAAUGGGAGAUCAAAAAUAACCAAAGCUUGUUUUUAUGCCUCUGCUGAGUGGGCGCAUGACAUGCCUUUCCAAGCAAACCAAAUUCCUCUGACUUCCAAUUGUGGGACUGUGAGUUUAAGGAGAAGCACUGGCCCCUAUUAUGCCUCAGCUACAGGACAAUGCUAUCUUCCCGAAGGAUUCAUGAUUUCUGCAGGAGCUUGGUAUAGGAUAUGUGUGGUUUUCUUGUGUGCAGUAUGACACCUGGGAAAGGAGAUACCCUUAGAAAAUUAAAAAGUACUGUUCUGUUCCCUAUCCACCCAUGGGGCUAUAUUUAUUUGGUCAGUUCAGUUGUGUUUUUUUGAAUCUAUGAACCAAGUUCCAAGAGGGAUAACACAUAUGGUGCGCCUAUCCAGACAAAGCUCAACAUGCCAGGGAACAGAAGAUUUGAAAAGUAUGUUGGCAACUACUUUAUUCUACUUAGGGUAGUUGCCUAAGAUCUCCCAUCCAUCCUUCCUUCUUCCCUUCUUCCCUGCCUCCCUCCUCUCUCUUCAGAAUAGAGUAUAUGUCUAACAACAUCAUAUGCCUGACACUGUCUUUUCUUCCUUGCCUUGGUGGUUCCUGACUGUGGACUUCACCCUCAUUCCUUGUUCGCCGUCUUCCCUUCGAACUGAGUGAUGAUGUGGGAGAUGGUUCUGCCACGAGGAUUCAUCUCAGUUCUCACCAUCCAUCCUCUUCAUCUCAACUCAGGUCCCCUGACACAGAACCUUCAGAGUCUUGGUUACCUGAUCCAGCUUCUGUGACCAAAAAUGGCAGCCGUACUGUGACAGUCUUACUGGGUAAGUUCCACUCUUUCUGUUCCUCUCAAUGCUAUUUGUCUGGGGCAAGACCAGACUUGUUUGGGUGGGUGCUUAGUGUGUAAGCAUUGAAAGCUGAGCUUUCCACCUGAGCUGGAGCAUUCAUGCAGCCUGUGGGGAGGCCAGUCCUACGGUUUCUUGAGAGUAGCAGCGGCUACUUCUGGCAGUGGCUUCUCUGAGUGGAGGGCAGGAAUGACCAAACAAGUCUCUCAUUCCCACAUCUCUAGUCUUCACAGAUCCUUCAUGGCACCUGAGCUGGGGUGUGGGAUAACCUCUGUUCCCCUGCUGUGGUAUUUGUAAAAAUAGGAUGCCAAGUGUCAUGGUAUGGACCUGUGAUCCCCAUCUCUGGAGAAACUGAGGCAGCUGUUGCCAGUUAGCCUGGUCUUCAGGCAGUUGCAUUUUUUUGGGUGGGGGGAGACUACAAAAGCAAGAGCAAGUGGGGCUGUUCUCAAAAGUCACAUCUGUCAUGUGAUACUUUAAAAAAUAAUGCUUUCUCAUUAAUAAGAGAAGAUUCUGUUCAAUGGGAAAGCAUAGGAAGUAUUGGGGGCGGGCAAAAUGUUUAUAGUCACUCAAAGAUGACCACUGCCAACGUUUGGCUAAUAAUGUUUGGUUUCUGGUUUAUUCCUAUAAAUACACUCUUGCGCUCGUGUGUGUGUGUGUGUGUGUGUGUGUGUGUGUGUGUGUGUGUGUGUGUAUGAGAGUGUGUGUGUGUGUGUCUAAUUGAGCUUAUCAUUGCUAUUUUUUCUCAUCUGCCUGUAUAUCCUAAACUCUGCCCUAUGCCAUUCAGUAAUUUAUCAUCUUUGUU